UACGUAGGGGGGCUAGCGUUGUCCGGAUUUAUUGGGCGUAAAGAGCGUGUAGGCGGCCAGAUAGGUCUGCUGUGAAAACUCGAGGCUCAACCUCGAGAUGUCGGCGGAAACCAUUUGGCUAGAGUCCGGAAGAGGAAAGUGGAAUUCCUGGUGUAGCGGUGAAAUGCGCAGAUAUCAGGAAGAACACCCGUGGCGAAGGCGGCUUUCUGGGACGGUACUGACACUGAGGUGCGAAAGCGUGGGGAGCAAACAGG
rnacentral:rRNA from 1 species